rfam:Chelonia mydas contig178706, whole genome shotgun sequence.
GCUGAAAUAGCUCAGUUGGGAGAGCAUUAGACUGAAGAUCUAAAGGUUCAUGGUUUGAUCCCGGGUUUCAGCA